UCCAGUACAUGUGAUUGAUUUAUUAAGAAAUUGUAGAAGCUCAAAUUAUUUUUAAGUUUUGAUUUCAUGACUAUAUUGCCGUAUAACACUGGAGCUCGUAUUCGCUGCCCUGAGGAAGGAAACAACCGUUUCCGAAAGCUAGGCUAUUAUGAAUAAAGAGUAAAUACCUCA